AGUUACUGUACGUUGGGAGGGAGAGAGACAUUUUCUUCAGUGCUGUAGCCCCUGAGUUAACUGCCCUUGCUCCUGUGCAUGGUCCCUCCCCGGUGUUCCUGAGGUGGCCAUCCAUCACAGGGGCUUGUACGUGUGGUCUGCAGUUCUUGCUCCUGCAACAUGUCAACCUGAGAUGGCCUGGCACAAAGUACUAUACUGGGUGAUCAGAACUGUAGGGAUUCAGGAUCAGCCACUUGCAGAAGCCAGAAGCCCAAGAUCAAGAGGAACUCCCGAAGGACUAGGGGACGUCACCCACUGUGCUUGCGGUAGUGCGUCUUUGAUCUCUCUACAGUGUCCUCCUCUCUUGGGUGUGCACAUGUUCAAGCUUCCGCUUCUGUAAGGACAUUGAAUUUGGGCUCAGCCAGGGAUGAAGAGUUGAGGACCACUAGAGGCUGUGGAGCAUCUUUUGGAAGGCUAAGCCUCAGAAGGACAAAAUCAGAAAGCAAAGCAGGGAAGUUUGUGAAGCGCCAUUCAAACAUGAGCCCUACAGGUCCUCCUACCAUCUGCCUCUUUCCCACUUUCAUCUCGUCUGGGAAGGACCAACUGCAGGAGGUGGAUGAGAAAGGAAGGAGGGAGGGCUGCUCAAGGCCCAGCUUACCUGACCUACCGUGCUGCCUGUCCUUCCAACCCAACCCCACACCAUGCAGCCGAGGAUGCUGUGAGCAGCUGCAAUGUUGUGGAGGAGAUCCGCUUUGACUUGGGAUCCAAUGAAACAUCACCUGAUGACAUCAUCUCCAUGAACCCUCCCCGGGACAGGAGAACAAAAGAGGAGAGCGACAGGAGGAGAUCCCCUGAAGAGCCAUCACUGGUCACUGGGUUCUAUCAUCAGUGAGCACUGGCCGCAGCCAGGAGGCCCCCACAGCCUCCCACACCACUAGACAAAGGGGCUGGAAGGAGGUGGGGUGCAGAUUGGUCACUUGCUUCACACUCUAUGUUGUUGCCUCUCUAUCUCAGAGGAAAACAGCACAUUUCCCAGGUGAGAGACAACAAGGGGAGGGAACUGUGGUCUCAUGGGAAGCACAGCACAGGCACGACCAGUUGCCGACGGGAUGGGCCCAUGUAUAGAGGGCACGGACCCUAUGCUGUCUGUGAUCCGAGAGGGAGCUUUUCCUCUGCAUCCCCCUAAUGUGAACUCUGGGGAAGUUGAGCCAGGAGCAGAGAGCAGAGGGUGUGAGCAGGGACUAAGGAAUGAGGCAAGAGGGGGGAAGAAAGA
rnacentral:lncRNA from 1 species